GCGGUUCUGCGCGUCGCGUCAGGAGUGUUGCAUCCCCGGGGCCUUAUCGAUCCUAACGGGAGCUGUCCCUGCUCUGGCCCGUGGGCCUAGGCACAUGGCGCCCACCUACAUGUGUAGGUUCCCGGGAUCGAAAAUCUCCAACGGACGGGUGGGCCGCC
rnacentral:other from 1 species